UUGAGCAUUGGUAAUUCCUUCUUGUUUCUUCCAUUUGGUUCUUCGAUUUUGGAACCAAAUUUUAACCUAAAAAACGGUUGAAAACAUGAAAUUAAUAAGAAAAUUCUAACCAACUCAUCGGAACAAAUGAAAUCUCUCGAAGAUUUGUCGCCCAGUGAAGGUUGUUCGUGCCUUUUUCUUGCGACUUUUAUCACCCGGUGAUGUGGCGUCACCCAUUGAAUCCUCAUUGAAACGUCCAGUAAAUUCACUUUCCAUUGAAUGGUUAGACAGGUGACUAUCAUUGCUAUUGUCAUUUGAUAUUAAAGAGUUUUCCAACAAUUUAUCUUUACUCAUUGAUAUGGUUCCAUUGGCUACCGAAGAGAUCAAAUUAUUUACAUCAUUUUGGCCUUCACCAAGGAAUGAAUUGGUUUCAUGAUUAUUAACUGAACUCGAUAAUGAAGAAGCUUUUGAUUUACAGGAAUCUUUUUUUCUUUUCACUCCUUUACCAGGAAUCAGGGAAGAUGAUGAACAAGACGAGGACGAUGAAGAAGAUGAUGAAUAUGUAAACACGGUUGAUUCACCUGAAAAGACAACAGUUUAUUAAUAAUGGAUACAAUUUGGUGAUAAAGUUACUCGAUAUGCAACUUGUUUUAUAAACAUUUAUGAGCAUUUCAAUUUGAACAAACAUCUUUAAUAUUGAAACCAAUUUUUCGAUGUUACAAAAAAAGCAAAUAUUAUCUCAUCUUAACCUUUUGAAGGUAACAAUACAAAUAAAAAAAAGAGUCGAAACUUGUUA